UGGAGCGCAGGUGCCGGGCUUUGCCCGGCCGACGAGGAAGAGGUUCAUCGAUCAGUCAGCGGAUGCCUCUCGGUAAGCUGCACACCGUAAGCAGUCCUACAAAUCCCUCCGGCAACGGAGGCAUACAGAAGGGG
rnacentral:ncRNA from 1 species